GCCUCCUUGGCUCAGUUGGCUAGAGCGCGAGUCUCAUAGUUAUAUGUGAGGGCAGUACGUGUCUCUAUCUCGAGGUCGCAAGUUCGAGCCUUGCAGGGGGCA